rnacentral:lncRNA from 1 species
UCCAAGGCGAGGUAUGCUUCAAUCUGGUUAGGAACCGAUGGAGGCUCCCAUUGCUUGGAGUUGAAGAGGAGACCCAACUCAGCAGGGAUUGAAUCGAAACCACAAGCGGAAACGAUUAGAGAGCCAGUCUCUUCUGCUCUUUCGUGGUACUUAGCUUCCAUCCUCUCCAUGAACUCAGGCUCACCACUUAUAUCCAAAUAAUCACACCUACAAUAUAACAAGCAAACCAAACAUAACAAGUUUUUAACUAUUACUUCUUACUCAUAAACACACACAAAGUUCAGCUUUUUAGUUCACACUGUAACUACACACCAGAGAGAGAAAACAGAGGAAAAGACGAUUUAAUCCUGAGUCCCCGCACAAGCGGCAACAAAGAACCAAUGUAACAAGCAAAACCAAACAUAACAAGAUUUACAUAUUUGUCAUCAAAGUUACAAGCUUUAACCAUUACUUAGAUUGCAUCAACUCCUCAUAAGUUUCACUUUUUUUAAAACAGAGAAAAAAAACAUGAUUUUACCCAGAGUCGGCACAAGCGGCGACGACGGGAUCGCCAUGGAUACGGAACGGUCCGACACAGUUGAGGAUGAGUUUGGUCUGAGUACAGAGGCGGCGAAGUGAAUCCGGGUCUGACGUAUC